rnacentral:rRNA from 1 species
ACGAGUGGCGGACGGGUGAGUAAUGCUUGGGAACUUGCCUUUGCGAGGGGGAUAACAGUUGGAAACGACUGCUAAUACCGCAUAAUGUCUACGGACCAAACGGGGCUUAGGCUCCGGCGCAAAGAGAGGCCCAAGUGAGAUUAGCUAGAUGGUGAGGUAAAGGCUCACCAUGGCAACGAUCUCUAGCUGUUCUGAGAGGAAGAUCAGCCACACUGGGACUGAGACACGGCCCAGACUCCUACGGGAGGCAGCAGUGGGGAAUAUUGCACAAUGGGGGAAACCCUGAUGCAGCCAUGCCGCGUGUGUGAAGAAGGCCUUCGGGUUGUAAAGCACUUUCAGUUGUGAGGAAAGGGUGUUGGUUAAUACCCAAUAUCUGUGACGUUAACAACAGAAGAAGCGCCGGCUAACUCCGUGCCAGCAGCCGCGGUAAUACGGAGGGUGCGAGCGUUAAUCGGAAUUACUGGGCGUAAAGCGCACGCAGGCGGUUUGUUAAGCUAGAUGUGAAAGCCCCGGGCUCAACCUGGGACGGUCAUUUACAACUGGCAGACUAGAGUCUUGGAGAGGGGAGUGGAAUUCCAGGUGUAGCGGUGAAAUGCGUAGAUAUCUGGAGGAACAUCAGUGGCGAAAGCGACUCCCUGGCCGAAGACUGACGCUCAUGUGCGAAAGUGUGGGUAGC